GAUAUAAUCUUAAAAGGUUUGUCAUAGUUUUUUGCAACCGGCCCAGAGUUUAGGCUACUGUGGCUUGAAGUAAAAUUUUGGAACGUCCUGCAUGUUUGUGGGACAAU